AUUGAACGCUGGCGGCAGGCCUAACACAUGCAAGUCGAACGAAGUCUUCGGACUUAGUGGCGGACGGGUGAGUAACACGUGGGAACGUACCUUUUGGUUCGGAACAACUCAGGGAAACUUGAGCUAAUACCGGAUGAGCCCUUAGGGGGAAAGAUUUAUCGCCGAAAGAGCGGCCCGCGUUAGAUUAGCUAGUUGGUGAGGUAAAGGCUCACCAAGGCUACGAUCUAUAGCUGGUCUGAGAGGAUGAUCAGCCACACUGGGACUGAGACACGGCCCAGCCUCCUACGGGAGGCAGCAGUGGGGAAUCUUGCGCAAUGGGCGAAAGCCUGACGCGGCCAUGCCGCGUGAAUGAUGAAGGUCUUAGGAUUGUAAAAUUCUUUUACCAGGGACGAUAAUGACGGUACCUGGAGAAUAAGCCCCGGCUAACUUCGUGCCAGCAGCCGCAGUAAGAC
rnacentral:rRNA from 1 species